GAAAGAUACCUUAGAGGCUUAAAGCCGCGGACUGUAAAUCCGCCCCUUCGGGUUCGGGGGUUCGUAUCCCUCUCUUUUCA
rnacentral:tRNA from 1 species